rnacentral:rRNA from 1 species
GUCCACGGCCACACCACCCUAAGGCACCCACGAUCUCGUCUGAUCUCGGAAGCUAAGCAGGGUCGAACCCGGUUAGAAUGUGGAUGAGAGACCAAACUGCCACCGCACGGGGCUUUCUUCC